GGCCUGGUCACACCUGUGCUGUAGGUCACACUGUAGGGAAGUGGGGUGCAGCCUCAAGGCCUGGUCACACCUGUGCUGUAGGUCACACUGUAGGGAAGUGGGGUGCAGCCUCAAGGCCUGGUCACACCUGUGCUGUAGGUCACACUGUAGGGAAGUGGGGUGCAGCCUCAAGGCCUGGUCACACCUGUGCUGUAGGUCACACUGUAGGGAAGUGGGGUGCAGCCUCAAGGCCUGGUCACACCUGUGCUGUAGGUCACACUGUAGGGAAGUGGGGUGCAGCCUCAAGGCCUGGUCACACCUGUGCUGUAGAUCACUGCCAGGGGUGGCUUUGUACUUCUGCUCAGCUCAAACUGCUUUGGCUCCACAAACUUAGGUCCUCUCAGGCCUUCUUCCUUCACUUCCUCCUCUUCACAAAGGCUUCUCCACAAUCACCCUGGAACCUUAUUGCUCUCGGCUUCUCAUGAUCCAGAUAUGGAUCUAUGGUCACGGUCGCCUAGACACCCACCUGGCCUGGCUCUCUCAGUCAACCAGGUUUCUGACGUGGUUUCUCAGAAUGUGGCUAGCU